GGGUUCUGAAACAAGGUUCUGAGAACCGGACCGGUCAUCAAACCGCUUUAGUUAUUGGUUCAUUGGUUUACUGGUCUAACCGGUCUAACCGGUAGUUCAACCGAAAAAACCGUUUUAAAAUGGAAUAAUAAAUAAAUUAUAAAUAUGCAAGUAUUAAGUUGAGGGUAUAAGGUUGUAUGAAGUUUUUCUAAUGGAGUGGUGAAUUCCUCUCUUAGGAUUUUCCUUUUUUAAUAUUAAAUGCAAAAUUGCCAGAUGAAAGCAUGAUACCAAGCAAGUACAAUUCCUCAUCAGUACACAAAAUGUUAAAAGAAAUAUCUGACAAGAAUAGGAAGAAUAUCAAAUGAAUUAUCAUAAAUCCAACUAAAAAUAAACAUAGUACUCGGAUAAAUAAAUUUGAUAACAUUAUUAAUAACAAAGUUGGUAGUGGACUGUGCUAGAAAGGCUUCACCAAAUGAAGGUGCAUACAGGCUUUUAGAGACAAUAGACUUGGAUUUGUGCAGUAGCAUUUUGGAUGAGUUGCUUUGAAGACCAUUUGGUAAAACUAAGCUUUGAAUAGGUACAAUACAGGCUUCACCAAAUGCUCAUAACACACACAAAGACAGUUUCUCAAGAUACAUAAAUAAGUGCUCAUCCUCUAAAAAUAAUCAUCUGAAUCGGUAUAAGGCAGGAAAAAAUGACUAUAAGUCUCUUUACCCAAGUCAAAAUAAACAACCAUAUCUGAAUUCAACAAUCAGCAUUCAGCACCAAAUAUUACAAAACAUUAACCAAUAAUCACACUAAACCUGCAACCAGCAAUUACAAAACAGCAACAAACAUGAGUACAUUAUAAAACAUUCCAAAACAGUGAUGACACUAAACCUGCAUAGUAAAUAAUCUCAAAGACAAUGAUCACCAAUAUCCAGCAAAUAAACAAUAAAUACACAACAACAAUUUAGCAAAUAAACAAGAACAAGACCUAAAUAGAAAAUCCAACAAAUUAAGUCGCAGCAACCUAACAAUUUGACAAAUUAAAACAACAGUAGCCCAACAAUUUACCAAAUUAUCAACUUAACAAAUUCAAGAACAGAAAAUCACAACAAAACAAAAAAAAUUAAAAGUAACAGAAGAACACAAGAACAAUUAGCAAAUUAACAAGUUCACAAUAACAGUUAAAAAAUUUACCAGAAGAACACUAAUGCAAGUGGAAUCAUCAUGCUAAUAUGUUUUCUGCAAAGAUGCUAUUUGUACAGCUAUAAUUUCCUAAUUACUAUGAUCCAAUUAUUCUAAUUUCACAUGCAAUCAACUUAGUAAGUUUCUAAAAGCUAGAAAUUAUAAAACCAACCAGAAAUAUGGUUAAAGCAUUUCAUCAAACAUGUUGAGUGCGGUAAAAUUAAAACGAAAUAAGAGAAUUCAAAGCUUAAUUUCAAUGUGACAGAGAAGAGAACAUAACUAUUGUAACUUUAAUUUAG